GGAAGGUAUAGCUCAGUGGUAGAGCACAUGCUUAGCAUGCAUGAAGUCCUGGGUUCAAUCCCCAGUACCUCCA
rnacentral:tRNA from 1 species